GACAUUUGUCUUCUGUCGUUCACUUUUAGACAUGAUUUUCCGUUUUCCCAAAGAAUGUUGAGUGUGUACUUUAAGUUUAAAUUUGUAUAUUGUUUAAUGAUUGCUUUCAAACAAAUUGUACUUAGUAGAGAAAAGAGAACAUACAAACAGGAUUUUACAAUACAUGAAUGAACUUUCUCAAAAUUCAGAACCCUGAGGAAGGUGCAAAUUAGAUACCGAAAGCUUGGCGAAUGAAUAAAGAGAAUUAAAUAAACAACUUUCAUAUUG